rnacentral:rRNA from 1 species
CACGUAGGGUGCGAGUGUUGUCCGGAAUUAUUGGGCGUAAAGAGCUCGUAGGCGGUGUGUCGCGUCGGCCGUGAAAACCUGCAGCUUAACUGUGGGCGUGCGGUCGAUACGGGCAUCACUGGAGUUCGGCAGGGGAGACUGGAAUUCCUGGUGUAGCGGUGAAAUGCGCAGAUAUCAGGAGGAACACCGGUGGCGAAGGCGGGUCUCUGGGCCGAUACUGACGCUGAGGAGCGAAAGCGUGGGGAGCAAACAGG